rnacentral:rRNA from 1 species
AUUGAACGCUGGCGGCAGGCCUAACACAUGCAAGUCGAGCGGCAGCGGGAAAGUAGCUUGCUACUUUUGCCGGCGAGCGGCGGACGGGUGAGUAAUGCCUGGGAAAUUGCCCAGUCGAGGGGGAUAACAGUUGGAAACGACUGCUAAUACCGCAUACGCCCUACGGGGGAAAGCAGGGGACCUUCGGGCCUUGCGCGAUUGGAUAUGCCCAGGUGGGAUUAGCUAGUUGGUGAGGUAAUGGCUCACCAAGGCGACGAUCCCUAGCUGGUCUGAGAGGAUGAUCAGCCACACUGGAACUGAGACACGGUCCAGACUCCUACGGGAGGCAGCAGUGGGGAAUAUUGCACAAUGGGGGAAACCCUGAUGCAGCCAUGCCGCGUGUGUGAAGAAGGCCUUCGGGUUGUAAAGCACUUUCAGCGAGGAGGAAAGGUUGAUGCCUAAUACGUAUCAACUGUGACGUUACUCGCAGAAGAAGCACCGGCUAACUCCGUGCCAGCCGCCGCAGUAA